GUCAUCACAAACAAAUCUACAAACACUGCAGACUAGGACCUGUUCUUUUUGUAAGCUCAGACACAUCACUUCUUAGUACUUCAACAACCAUAGUGCAACUUUCUUCAUAUUCGUGAACUCUUAUUAUUCUCGUCAAACUUAAACCUAAACUCAAAUAAAAUAACAAGGGUUUGGGUAAUUUUCUUCCCUUUCAUCGAAGUAAAUGAACUCAAGAUGAAAAAUAUGGGUUUGAUCCAGAUUUUCUCCCAUUUAG
rnacentral:lncRNA from 1 species